ACUGCACAACCUCAUCACAGCUCCACACGCCAGUGGUGGUGACUGCACAACCUCAUCACAGCUCCACACGCCAGUGGUGGUGACUGCACAACCUCAUCACAGCUCCACACGCCAGUGAUGGUGACUGCACAACCUCAUCACAGCUCCACGCACCAGUGCUGGAAGAUUCAAUAUAAUUCACAUCAACCCAGCAAGGAGUAGCACCAAGUUGCUGGAGAGUCUGCGGCCCAAACAUCACUUGGUGUCAUCGUCUGAUUCCAUACCAAAUUCUGCUUCCACAUCCGUUACUUCUACAUCAGAUUCAGUUUUGUUUGCUUGUGUCCAGGGGCGUCGUAAUAGGGGGCGGGCCGCCCCGGGUGACACCACAUAGCCUCUAAAGGUGACACUAAUGCCCAAAACAGUGCUGAACCAACAUAAGAGAAUAAGCCUUCAUUUCUAUAUAGCCUAUUAUAUAUUAACAAAAUACGUACAAAUAAGCCUAUAUAGGGAAAAUAAAUGAUUUUGAUGAUGUGAUAGGUGAUUUUGCAUAAUUAAAGACAAGGAAAUGUAAAAUCAGAUUUACUGAGAUGUUACCUGUACUCAAGAUCAAAUCUGAACUAGUGUUUCUCUCAUAUUGCAAUGUUUUCCUUUAUUUUUUAUUUUUUUUUCUGUUUUGUUUUGGCAUUGUUGAAGAUGAAUAAAUGUAGGAUCUGUUGGCUGUACUCAAAGUGGUAUUUGAGUUUGUUUCCUCAAUAGUACUAUGCUUAUUUAUUUUAUCAUCAAUAAAGUUGAGAAGUAUUCUCCUGUUUAUUUUAUGGCCCUUAAACGUUCUCAUUGUUAAACAUUUGUCACUGGUCAUGCAGUAGUGACAUAACUGGAGUUUACCCCCCCAUCUCCCCGUCCCUGAAUUUCAUGGGGGUGACAUCAAAGAUGCUGCCCUGGGUGACACCAACUCUAGCGAUGCCUCUGUAUACUGUCAACUUUUAGAGGAACUGUUAUAUUUGUCUCGACGUACAGUGGACCCUCGGUUAUUGGCCAUUCCGCUUAUCAGCCAACUCGG